rnacentral:rRNA from 1 species
UGGGGAAUUUUGGACAAUGGGCGCAAGCCUGAUCCAGCCAUGCCGCGUGCAGGAUGAAGGCCUUCGGGCUGUAAACUGCUUUUGUACGGAACGAAAAGACUCCUUUUAAUAAAGGGGGUUCAUGACGGUACCGUAAGAAUAAGCACCGGCUAACUACGUGCCAGCAGCCGCGGUAAU